GCUGACGUGGUCUAGUAGCAUGAUACCUGCUUUGGGUUUUGUCCGAUCCCGGGAUUUGAUCCCGUAUAUGCAGGGGGUCCCGGGUUCAACUCCCGGCGUCGGUC